GAUGAGAACGCAGCGAAAUGCGAUAAGUAGUGUGAAUUGCAGAAUUCAGUGAAUCAUCGAAUCUUUGAACGCACAUUGCGCCCUUUGGUAUUCCUUAGGGCAUGCCUGUUCGAGCGUCAUUUAAACCUUCAAGCUAAGCUUGGUGUUGGGUGACUGUCCGCUUCACGGCGGACUCGCCUCAAAAUUAUUGGCGGCCGGUACAUUGGCUUCGAGCGCAGCAGAAACGCGAACUCGGGCCCGUCGUAUUGGCUCCCAGAAGCUAUCUUCACAAUUUUGACCUCGGAUCAGGUAGGGAUACCCGCUGAACUUAAGCAUAUCAAUAAGCGGAGGA
rnacentral:misc_RNA from 1 species